UACGGGGGGAGCAAGCGUUGUUCGGAUUUACUGGGCGUAAAGGGCGCGUAGGCGGCCACCGCAAGUCGACUGUGAAAUCUCCGGGCUUAACCCGGAAAGGUCAGCCGAUACUGCGGGGCUAGAGUGCAGAAGGGGCAACUGGAAUUCUCGGUGUAGCGGUGAAAUGCGUAGAUAUCGGGUGGAACACCUGUGGCGAAGGCGGCCAUCUGGACGUUCACUGACGCUGAGACGCGAAAGCGUGGGUAGCAAACAGG
rnacentral:rRNA from 1 species